GAUGAACGCUGGCGGCGUGCUUAACACAUGCAAGUCGAACGGAGUGUCAUUUCUUCGGAUAGGACACUUAGUGGCGGACGGGUGAGUAACGCGUGGGUAACCUGCCUCACACAGGGGGAUAGCAGUUGGAAACGACUGAUAAUACCGCAUAAGCGCACAGUACCGCAUGGUACAGUGUGAAAAACUCCGGUGGUGUGAGAUGGACCCGCGUCUGAUUAGCUUGUUGGUGAGGUAACGGCCCACCAAGGCGACGAUCAGUAGCCGGCCUGAGAGGGUGAACGGCCACAUUGGGACUGAGACACGGCCCAAACUCC
rnacentral:rRNA from 1 species